rnacentral:tRNA from 1 species
GGCCCCGUGGCGGAAUCGGUAGACGCACACGACUUAAAAUCGUGCGCUUUCGGGCGUGCCGGUUCAAGUCCGGCCGGGGCCACCA